UUCUAUGCAUAGCUGAUAAAACAUUUACAUUGGUCCCUAGAUUUUAAAUGUUAUACGUCACAUGACCUUCAAAUUGUGAAAGAAUUAUAAAAAUUAACCUAAAAAUGUUAAUGGCUUCCUGAAUCUCAUAACCAGCUCUGCUUGUAAUUAAGGUUAACAUUAUUUAGUUGAAAGGUCAAAACAUACAACAAUAUAAGCUCUCGACAUAGUUGUCCAUGACUACGAGGACGAUAAUGCCUAACACACUCUCUAUUAACCUAUUUCAGAAAGUUCCUUUUAUGUUUAUUUUUAG
rnacentral:lncRNA from 1 species